rnacentral:tRNA from 1 species
GUGGCUGUAGCUCAAUGGUAGAGCCGCGGGUCGUGGUCCCGCAGACGCCGGGUCAGUACCGGCCAGUCACCCCA